rnacentral:lncRNA from 1 species
UCUAUGCAGCCUUUAAGAAUGACAAAUAAUAAUAGAAAUAAUUACAAUUAACACUUCUUGAGGGCACACUAUGAAUCAGGCUCAGUUCUGAGUUUUACAUGUAACAAUUUCUUUAUUCCUCAGAGCAUCCCCAUUUCACACAGGAGAAAAUCAAGACACAGAGAGUUUGAUGAAGUUUUGUAAGGUCAUGCAGCCAGGAAGACACUUAUGACAUCUACAUAUUUUUAAGAGAAAAAAGAGUUACAGUGGAGGUCAUCCAUCUGAUUCGUUCUAGGAGAUGUAGAACUUCACAAAAAGCCUUUGAAGUCUCCUUUCCUGCCUUCUAUCAUUUCCUGCCCCUAAAUUCCAAGAAAAGAAAAUGUCACCUCCAUCAGUUCUGGUGUUUCUAGGUUUCUGAAUUGUUCCAAGAUCCUAUACUGCACCAGGACACGGCGUCAGCCACUAGUCUCCAUGAUUUAGCACAGAGGUGAGGUCCUGCUUCUCUUUGACCUCCCUGCUCUGUGCUAGGAGUCUUUGUCAAGGCUUUGUCCUGCUGGUGGCUUCACGUGCCACCUGUGGGGGCUAGCCCUCCCUGAAGUCCUUCUGCCACAACAAAGCAUGGCUGGUGCCCCUGUUGCUG